UACGUAGGGUGCAAGCGUUAAUCGGAAUUACUGGGCGUAAAGUGUGCGCAGGUGGCUUCGCAAGUCGAGUGUGAAAUCCCCGGGCUUAACCUGGGAAUUGCGCUCGAAACUACGGAGCUGGAGUGUGGCAGAGGAAGGUGGAAUUCCACGUGUAGCGGUGAAAUGCGUAGAGAUGUGGAGGAACACCAAUGGCGAAGGCAGCCUUCUGGGCCAACACUGACACUCAUGCACGAAAGCGUGGGGAGCAAACAGG
rnacentral:rRNA from 1 species